ACGGAAGGCAGCAGUGGGGAAUAUUGGGCAAUGGGCGAAAGCCUGACCCAGCGACGCCGCGUGAGGGAAGAAGGUCUUCGGAUUGUAAACCUCUUUCAGCAGGGAAGAUAAUGACGGUACCUGCAGAAGAAGCCACGGCUAACUACGUGCCAGCAGCCGCGGUAAUACGUAGGUGGCGAGCGUUAUCCGGAAUUACUGGGUGUAAAGGGUGUGUAGGCGGGGAGACAAGUCAGGCGUGAAAUGUACGGGCUCAACUCGUAGACUGCGCUUGUAACUGUCACUCUUGAGUGUGGGAGAGGUAAACGGAAUUCCUGGUGUAGUAGUGGAAUGCGUAGAUAUCAGGAGGAACACCGGUGGCGAAGGCGGUUUACUGGACCACAACUGACGCUGAGACACGAAAGCGUGGGGAGCAAACAGGAUUAGAUACCCUGGUA
rnacentral:rRNA from 1 species